rnacentral:rRNA from 1 species
UAGGGAAUCUUGCGCAAUGGGCGAAAGCCUGACGCAGCCAUGCCGCGUGAAUGAUGAAGGUCUUAGGAUUGUAAAAUUCUUUCACCGGGGACGAUAAUGACGGUACCCGGAGAAGAAGCUCCGGCUAACUUCGUGCCAGCAGCCGCGGUAAUACGAAGGGGGCUAGCGUUGCUCGGAAUUACUGGGCGUAAAGGGCGCGUAGGCGGACAGUUUAGUCAGAGGUGAAAGCCCAGGGCUCAACCUUGGAACUGCCUUUGAUACUGGCUGUCUUGAGUUCGGGAGAGGUGAGUGGAAUGCCGAGUGUAGAGGUGAAAUUCGUAGAUAUUCGGCGGAACACCAGUGGCGAAGGCGACUCACUGGCCCGAUACUGACGCUGAGGCGCGAAAGCGUGGGGAGCAAACAGGAUUAGAUACCCUGGUAGUCCACGCCGUAAACGAUGAGUGCUAGUGUCGGCAUGCAUGCAUGUCGGUGACGCAGCUAACG